GCAGCAGCCGCGGUAAUACAGAGGGUGCGAGCGUUAAUCGGAUUUACUGGGCGUAAAGCGUGCGUAGGCGGCUAAUUGAGUCGGAUGUGAAAUCCCCGAGCUUAACUUGGGAAUUGCAUUCGAUACUGUUAGCUAGAGUGUGGGAGAGGAUGGUAGAAUUCCAGGUGUAGCGGUGAAAUGCGUAGAGAUCUGGAGGAAUACCGAUGGCGAAGGCAGCCAUCUGGCCUAACACUGACGCUGAGGUACGAAAGCAUGGGGAGCAAACAGGAUUAGAUACCCGUGUAGUCCCUGUCUCUUAUACA
rnacentral:rRNA from 1 species